rnacentral:rRNA from 1 species
AACAGAUAAGGAGCUUGCUCCUUUGAAGUUAGCGGCGGACGGGUGAGUAACACGUGGGUAACCUACCUAUAAGACUGGAAUAACUUCGGAAAACCGGAGCUAAUGCCGGAUAACAUAUAGAACCGCAUGGUUCUAUAGUGAAAGAUGGUUUUGCUAUCACUUAUAGAUGGACCCGCGCCGUAUUAGCUAGUUGGUAAGGUAAUGGCUUACCAAGGCGACGAUACGUAGCCGACCUGAGAGGGUGAUCGGCCACACUGGAACUGAGACACGGUCCAGACUCC